rnacentral:rRNA from 1 species
AUGUCGUCCUCGUCUCCUACGGACACGGCGGCGCCGUACGUUGUCGAUGACUUCGGGAGCGCACUUCAGGUGCUCAGCGACGGCACCGUCGUCCGCUCCCCGCCGCCACCACUCCAACCACCUGACGUGAACGACGGCCGCGUCCAGUGGAAGGACGCCGUGUACGACGCCGGCCGCGGCCUCGGGCUGCGCAUGUACAGGCCGCACCGGCGUGACGUGGCCGACGACGGAGAGGAUGGGAAGCACCCCGUGCUUGUGUACUUUCACGGCGGUGGCUUCUGCGUCGGCUCCUACUCCUUGCCUAAGGACUACGCCGUCUGCCUCCGGCUGGCCGCCGAGCUUCCCGCCGUCGUGCUCUCCUUCGACUACCGCCUCGCGCCAGAGCACCGCCUCCCCGCCGCUCACGAGGACGCCGCCGCGGCCCUCCUAUGGCUCCGCGACCAGCUCACCUCCGGCUCCGACGACUCGUGGCUCGCCGGCUCGGCCGACUCCCGCCGGGUGUUCGUCUCGGGCGUGUCCGCUGGCGGCAGCCUGGCGCACCACAUGGCCGUCCGGUUCGGCACGUCGGGGCUCGAGCCGGCCGCGAGCAUCGCGGGGUACAUCCUCCUCAUGCCGGGCUUGUUCUCGGCUGAGCCAACGCAGUCAGAAUUGGACACGCCGGACACCGCAUGGCUGACGCGGGAGAUGUUCGACCGGUUCUUCCGGCUCGGGAUGCCCGCCGGAGCGAGCAGGGACAACCCGCUGGUGAACCCGUUUGGGCCGGGCAGCCCGAGCUUGGAGCCAACGUGCGUGGGCCGCAUGCUCGUCGUGGCCGCGGAGCGCGACCUCUUCAGGGACAGGAACGUGGAGUACGCCGAGCGGAUGAAGGCCAUGGGGAAGGACGUGGAGCUCGUCGUGUUCGCCGGCCAGGAGCACGGGUUUUUCGGCGCGGAUCCUGCUUCGGGGGCCGACGGGGAGCUGGUGCGAGUCAUCAGCCGUUUCGUUGAGCGGGAUGGAGACGGUCCGGCUUGA